GAUGAACGCUGGCGGCGUGCUUAACACAUGCAAGUCGAACGAGAAGUGAAGACGGAUGCCUUCGGGCGGAAGGCUGUAUUUCGAGUGGCGGACGGGUGAGUAACGCUUGGGUAUUCUGCCUCAUACAGGGGGAUAACAGUUGGAAACGACUGUUAAUACCGCAUAAGACCACGGCAGCGCAUGGUGCGGGGGUAGAAACUCCGGUGGUAUGGGCUGGACCCGCGUUCGGUUAGCCAGUGGGCGGGGUAACGGCCCACCAAAGCGACGAUCGAUAGCCGGGCUGCGAGGAGGACCGGCCACAUUGGAAAUGAGACCCGGACCAAACUCCUACGGGAGGCAGCAGUGGGGAAUAAUGCACAAUGGGGGAAGCCCUGAUGGAGCGACGCCGCGUGAGUGAAGAAGUAUUUCGGUAUGUAAAGCUCUAUCAGCAGGGAAGAGAAUGACGGUACCUGAGUAAGAAGCCCCGGCUAACUACGUG
rnacentral:rRNA from 1 species